CAAAUGUAACUUCAUUAAAGCAAAAUUUGAAAUUAUCAAACAUAAAUAGUACUUUUUUGGGGGUAUAUUGAGGCUCAGAUCUGUGAUAAAAUCAGGGGAACGGAGAAAAAGCAACCGCCAUGGCUGCAAACCGCAGCUGCACAAUUAAAAUAGUACCUUCCGGGUCGCCCCGCCAAGAUACGGGCUGCUCCAUUACCCCGACGAACUCUAGACGACACCUUAAUC
rnacentral:lncRNA from 1 species